rnacentral:rRNA from 1 species
GAUGAACGCUAGCGGCAGGCUUAAUACAUGCAAGUCGAGGGGCAGCAGGUCUGUAGCAAUACAGAUGCUGGCGACCGGCAAACGGGUGCGGAACACGUACAGAACCUUCCUUUAAGUGGGAGAUAGCCCAGGGAAACUUGGAGUAAUAUCCCGUAAGAUUGAGAAGUGGCAUCACUUUCUAAUUAUAGAUUUAUCGCUUAAAGAUGGCUGUGCGGCUGAUUAGGUAGUUGGCGGGGUAACGGCCCACCAAGCCCACGAUCAGUAACUGGUGUGAGAGCACGACCAGUCACACGGGCACUGAGACACGGUCCAGACUCCUACGGGAGGCAGCAGUGGGGAAUAUUGCACAAUGGGGGAAACCCUGAUGCAGCAACGCCGCGUGAGCGACGAAGGCCUUCGGGUCGUAAA